rnacentral:rRNA from 1 species
GAUCAUGGCUCAGGAUGAACGCUGGCGGCGUGCUUAACACAUGCAAGUCGAGGGGAAACGAUAUUGGAAGCUUGCUUCCGAUAGGCGUCGACCGGCGCACGGGUGAGUAACGCGUAUCCAACCUGCCCACCACUUGGGGAUAACCUUGCGAAAGUAAGACUAAUACCCAAUGAUAUCUCUAGAAGACAUCUGAAAGAGAUUAAAGAUUCAUCGGUGAUGGAUGGGGAUGCGU